AUUGAACGCUGGCGGCAUGCCUUACACAUGCAAGUCGAACGGUAACAGGUCUUCGGAUGCUGACGAGUGGCGAACGGGUGAGUAAUACAUCGGAACGUGCCCAGACGUGGGGGAUAACGAGGCGAAAGCUUUGCUAAUACCGCAUACGAUCUAAGGAUGAAAGCAGGGGACCGCAAGGCCUUGUGCGUUUGGAGCGGCCGAUGGCAGAUUAGGUAGUUGGUGGGAUAAAAGCUUACCAAGCCGACGGUCUGUAGCUGGUCUGAGAGGACGACCAGCCACACUGGGACUGAGACACGGCCCAGACUCCUACGGGAGGCAGCAGUGGGGAAUUUUGGACAAUGGGCGAAAGCCUGAUCCAGCAAUGCCGCGUGCAGGAUGAAGGCCUUCGGGUUGUAAACUGCUUUUGUACGGAACGAAAAGGCUCUGGCUAAUACCUGGGGCACAUGACGGUACCGUAAGAAUAAGCACCGGCUAACUACGUG
rnacentral:rRNA from 1 species